CGUAGGGUGCGAGCGUUAAUCGGAAUUACUGGGCGUAAAGCGUGCGCAGGCGGUUUAGUAAGACAGGCGUGAAAUCCCCGGGCUCAACCUGGGAACUGCGCUUGUGACUGCUAAGCUAGAGUACGGCAGAGGGGGUGGAAUUCCACGUGUAGCAGUGAAAUGCGUAGAGAUGUGGAGGAACACCAAUGGCGAAGGCAGCCCCCUGGGUCGAUACUGACGCUCAUGCACGAAAGCGUGGGUAGCAAACAGGAUUAGAUACCCUGGUAGUCCACGCCCUAAACGAUGUCAACUAGGUGUUGGGAGGGUAAAACCUUUUAGUACCGGAGCUAACGCGUGAAGUUGACCGCCUGGGGAUACGGCCGCAAGAUUA
rnacentral:rRNA from 1 species